UAUCUUUGUGUUUUUCACAUUGCAAGCCUAGAAAGCUGUUCUUAUUAUUAUUUUGUAGUCUUAGAGUAGUGUUGUCAUAUAGAUCUUAUUUCACUAAUUUGUGAAGCUAUACCCAUUGCUUUGGGAUCAUCCUACUACCAUAAAGUUACCCAUAAUAUCACUCAAUUUCUUCAAUUUGCAAUAUAUCUGCUGCCUACAAUUUUCGACAUCCUCAGCCUGAUUUUUAUACAUUUCUUGGAAACCUUUUUCUAAUCAAAUUGUCAAACCUUAUAUUCCUUUCACGUAUAUUUCAAAGUCUUCAAAUCCCAGUUUCACAAGUUCUAUUCCAUCACAAUUAUGUUGGCAAAUUAAUUAAAAUUGGUUCUGCAUCACUUUGGUAGAGUCAGAGGAGGCAGUCCAACUCUGUCAUCAUUGGUCUCGAUUAAUGUCUAAUUAGAGGGCGAUGGUUUGAUAUAUGCUUAUUUCAUGGGCAUAUUAAAUGAUUGAAGAAGAAAACUGGGAUCAAAGUUGAUAUAUAUUCUUUAAUAAAUUCGGAAAUUUUGUUGCUUGAAGAACCGUGUUGUUAAUGGGAAGUAUUUUUAUCAAUUAUCUAAAAAACAUGCUGACUUUUCUGCUUGAAAUUAUUUUAUCAUGUGCAGCUUCAGAAACAUCUCAGUGA
rnacentral:misc_RNA from 1 species